GCCCUGGUGGUGGAAUUGGUAGACACGCAGGACUUAAAAUCCUGUGGCCAGCAAUGGCCGUAACGGUUCAAGUCCGUUCCGGGGCA
rnacentral:tRNA from 1 species